GGAAGAGACAACAAUACAUCACAGACAACAGCACAAAGGACAAGAAGGUAGAGACAACAAUACAUCACAGACAACAGCACAAAGGACAAGAAGGUAGAGACAACAAUACAUCACAGACAACAGCACAAAGGACAAGAAGGUAGACAACAAUACAUCACAGACAACAGCACAAAGGACAAGAAGGUAGAGACAACAAUACAUCACAGACAACAGCACAAAGGACAAGAAGGUAGACAACAAUACAUCACAGACAACAGCACAAAGGACAAGAAGGUAGACAACAAUACAUCACAGACAACAGCACAAAGGACAAGAAGGUAGAGACAACAAUACAUCACAGACAACAGCACAAAGGACAAGAAGGUAGAGACAACAAUACAUCACAGACAACAGCACAAAGGACAAGAAGGUAGAGACAACAAUACAUCACAGACAACAGCACAAAGGACAAGAAGGUAGAGACAACAAUACAUCACAGACAACAGCACAAAGGACAAGAAGGUAGACAACAAUACAUCACAGACAACAGCACA